rnacentral:rRNA from 1 species
AUUGAACGCUGGCGGCAGGCCUAACACAUGCAAGUCGAACGGCGCUGCGGAAGGGUAAGUGCUGCCUAGUAAUUUGCCUGGUAGUGAGGGCUCACGUCCGGAAACGGGCGCUAAUACAGCAUACUAUCAGCUGCGCCUCGGUCGGAAUAGCUAGUUGGUGGGGUAAUGGCCUACCAAGGCGGCGAUCCGUAACUGGUCUGAGAGGAUGAUCAGUCACACUGGAACUGAGACACGGUCCAGACUCCUACGGGAGGCAGCAGUGGGGAAUAUUGGAAAAUGGGCGAAAGCCUGAUCCAGCAAUGCCGCGUGUGUGAAGAAGGUUUUCGGAUGGUAAAGCACUUUAAGUUGGGAGGCGUGACCAACAGAAGAAGCACCGGCUAACUCCGUGCCAGCAGCCGCGGUAAUUC